rnacentral:rRNA from 1 species
CCUACGGGCGGCAGCAGUGAGGAAUAUUGGUCAAUGGACGAGAGUCUGAACCAGCCAAGUAGCGUGAAGGAUGACUGCCCUAUGGGUUGUAAACUUCUUUUAUAUGGGAAUAAAAUGUUCCACGUGUGGGAUUUUGUAUGUACCAUAUGAAUAAGGAUCGGCUAACUCCGUGCCAGCAGCCGCGGUAAUACGGAGGAUCCGAGCGUUAUCCGGAUUUAUUGGGUUUAAAGGGAGCGUAGGUGGAUUGUUAAGUUAGUUGUGAAAGUUUGCGGCUCAACCGUAAAAUUGCAGUUGAAACUGGCAGUCUUGAGUACAGUAGAGGUGGGCGGAAUUCGUGGUGUAGCGGUGAAAUGCUUAGAUAUCACGAAGAACUCCGAUUGCGAAGGCAGUUCACUGGACUGCAACUGACACUGAGGCUCGAAAGUGUGGGUAUCAAACAGGAUUAGAUACCCGUGUAGUC